GUCGUCAGUUACAUGUAUAUUAUAAGCAGAGAUAUUCAAAUCACAGUCUCCAGAAGAGUCUGAAGGAUUCUGGAAAUUAUGAAGUCCUACUUGGGAGUUUAGGGAGGAAAUACUUCUGAAGGACCUGACAAUAUCCUCACCGAGUAGGCAGUAUUAUUAGCAACCUGCUCUUCCAACAAAAGAACCACAUUGGCUCUCUGAGGUAUCCAUUUCAGCAGGGAUGCAAGUUUCUGGCAGAGGAAGAAGCAGCAACAAUGCCCAACAAAAGUGCCAGCGGCAGCAGAAGAGAUUGGAAAAAGUCUUGCCAAUGCCUGAUGGAGACAGUGCAUCCGUGGGGAACAGAAUGUAUUGAACAGAUAAUACCACACUUGCAGCUCACAAGGUCCAGCAAAAAAGCAGUCUUUGAGGAAAAAGCAAAAUACUUAAGGAAUGGCACGGAGACUGGAGAAAGAAGGAUUGUUUGAAUGGCAAAGAAGCUGUAAGAACAAGCUCACUUCCGUUCCUACUUCACUAGAGGUAAAAAGACAGACCCAUUCAAGUCCAUAGCCCCCUAGCUAUGGAAAACUUUCUAUGCAAGGAAACAUUCAUUAUAGCAUUUUUAAAAUAAGAGAAAGGUCUUGGGUGAAACAGGCCUACAAAUCUUGAUCUCUGUCCCUGUCCUCCUUAAUAAAUAGUAGCACCAUCCAUUCACUUGAUAAAGUUAAAAUCUUAUAGCUAUUUUUGACUUUUCCUCUUACCUUCUUUCACUCCAUCAGCAAAGCUCGUCAGUUUUAUCUUCGAAUAAAUGAUAAACCCUAUUCUUCUCUCCUUUCCCCAACAGAUAUGCUAAGUCAGGUCACCCGGAUCUCUUUCUGCUGCAUAUGGACAUAGUCAAUGCUUAGUGAAGAACUGAUGUUUUUCUUGAAGAAUUGCUUGAAAUGUAUGUCUGCACAUACUCAUAGAAAGAGUAUGUGAAGAUGAUUCCAUUUUAUUUUAGUCAAAAAAAAUAAUUUAAAGAACCAUAAAAUAUCAUAGAACCAUAAAAAAAGAACAAACACUAAUUUAAAGCCCAUUGCUUAAUGAACUUAUUCAGCAUGAUCUCAAUUCUAUACUCUUUCUCCCUCCCUGCACAACACUUCUCAUUAAGAAAUUUUACUUAUCCUUCAUGGUUAAUUCAAAAUAUUCUCUUCUCUAGAAACUGUCUCUCCUUUUUCCAAAGAAGCUACUUCUCCCUCCCCUAAAUCUCCAUGCAUAUGUUCCAGCUCUCUCUGUGGAGCUUAAAACAGUUUAUUCCUGACAUUUGAGUUAUUGUUCUGAAUACAUUUCUUUCCCCUAUCAGAUUAUAAACUCUUUGAAGACAUCUCUUUUUAAAUAUUAAGACACAUCAGGCUAGGUUAUUGUUACAUUAGAAUCCCCUCCUUCCACAUCC
rnacentral:lncRNA from 1 species